GAUGAACGCUGGCGGCGUGCUUAACACAUGCAAGUCGAACGGAAAGGCCCUGCUUGCAGGGUACUCGAGUGGCGAACGGGCGAGUAACACGUGGGUGAUUCGCCCUGCACUUCGGGAUAAGCCAGGGAAACUGGGUCUAAUACCGGAUAGGAGCCAUUUUUAGCGUGAUGGUUGGAAAGUUCUUUCGGUGUUGGAUGAGCUCGUGGCCGAUUAGCUAGUUGGUGGGGUAGUGGCUUACCAAGGCGACGACGGGUAGCCGGGGUGGGAGGGUGGUCGGCCACACUGGAACUGAGACACGGCCCAGACACCUACGGGAGGCAGCAGUGGCGACGAGUGGCCACUGGGGGGAAGACUGAACCAGGGACGCCGCGCGGGUGAAGAAGGGCCGCGGGGGGGAAAACGGUCUUGGGGUGGAAGAAUAGUUGCGGUAGAAACGAAGCUUUUUGUGACGGUACCUAAAGAAGAAGCACCGGCUAACUACGUG
rnacentral:rRNA from 1 species